GACGUAGGGCGCGAGCGUUGUCCGGAUUUAUUGGGCGUAAAGAGCUCGUAGGCGGUUUGUCGCGUCGUCUGUGAAAACCCACGGCUCAACUGUGGGCUUGCAGUCGAUACGGGCAGGCUAGAGUUCGGUAGGGGAGACUGGAAUUCCUGGUGUAGCGGUGAAAUGCGCAGAUAUCAGGAGGAACACCGGUGGCGAAGGCGGGUCUCUGGGCCGUAACUGACGCUGAGGCGCGAAAGCGUGGGGAGCGAACAGG
rnacentral:rRNA from 1 species